GAUGAACGCUGGCGGCGUGCCUAAUACAUGCAAGUCUAGCGAACGGACGAGAAGCUUGCUUCUCUGAUGUUAGCGGCGGACGGGUGAGUAACACGUGGAUAACCUACCUAUAAGACUGGGAUAACUUCGGGAAACCGGAGCUAAUACCGGAUAAUAUUUUGAACCGCAUGGUUCAAAAGUGAAAGACGGUCUUGCUGUCACUUAUAGAUGGAUCCGCGCUGCAUUAGCUAGUUGGUAAGGUAACGGCUUACCAAGGCAACGAUGCAUAGCCGACCUGAGAGGGUGAUCGGCCACACUGGAACUGAGACACGGUCCAGACUCCUACGGGAGGCAGCAGUAGGGAAUCUUCCGCAGUGGGCGAAAGCCUGACGGAGCAACGCCGCGUGAGUGAUGAAGGUCUUCGGAUCGUAAAACUCUGUUAUUAGGGAAGAACAUAUGUGUAAGUAACUGUGCACAUCUUGACGGUACCUAAUCAGAAAGCCACGGCUAACUACGUG
rnacentral:rRNA from 1 species